rfam:Halocynthiibacter arcticus strain PAMC 20958, complete genome.
GCGGAUGGCUGGAUGACCGCGGGGUGGCAACACCGCGAGGAAAGUCCGGACUCCAUGAAGGAUGGUGCCGGGUAAUGCCCGGCCGGGGUAACCCGAGGGAAAGCGCCACAGAGAACAGACCGCCCGUUUACAGGUCGUGCAAACGAUACCGUGACGGGUAAGGGUGAAACGGUGGGGUAAGAGCCCACCGCGGCGGUGGUAACAUCGCUGGCAUGGCAAGCCCCACCAGGAGCAAUGCCAAAUAGGAACCUCACGCGGGGCAACUCGCAGGGCGGCUUCGGCCCAGAAGGUUCGGGUUGGCAGCUUGACCCUGUUGGUAACAGCAGGGCUAGAAGAAUGGUCAUCCAGCGUCGUGUAAUGCGGCGUGGACAAAAUCCGGCUUACAGGCCAUCCGCGCGU